rnacentral:rRNA from 1 species
UACGUAGGGUGCGAGCGUUGUCCGGAAUUACUGGGCGUAAAGAGCUCGUAGGCGGUUUGUCGCGUCUGCUGUGAAAAUCCGGGGCUCAACCCCGGACUUGCAGUGGGUACGGGCAGACUAGAGUGUGGUAGGGGAGACUGGAAUUCCUGGUGUAGCGGUGAAAUGCGCAGAUAUCAGGAGGAACACCGGCGGCGAAGGCGGCUUGCUGGGCAGCAACUGACGCUGAGGCGCGAAAGCCAGGAGAGCAAACGGGAUUAGAUACCCGCGUA